GGGGUCGUGGGACAACCUGGCAGCCUAUCGCCUUGGGGUGGCGACGAUCCGAGUUCAAAUCUCGGCGACCCCA
rnacentral:tRNA from 1 species